UGCGCCAGUUGGAUAAUUUUGCCGGGUGUGUUCUUCGGUCGGUUUUGAAAUCUCCACAGUGCGAAAAGUGCAGCAAAUUUGUGAAGACUCAUACAGAAAGUUUGUUGGGGAAAAAGUUGAAAAUAUUAAAUUUAAACGGGGAACAUUGAGCAAUUUUUGAACUGUAUGUGUUAAAAGUUCGUGUGACGUUUAAUUAUUUAAAUUCAGACAAAGAUUAUAGUCCGAGCUGAAAAGGAAAGAGAAUAAGGUCCAGUAGGCGUGAACAAAGUAAAAGGGAAUAAGAAAGUACGGAUAAAAACGUUACGUUAAAAUGGAGCACGAGGAUAAUGCGCAUUUGGACAAUUUUUUGCAAAAUUCUCAACAUUUAAUGGAGAAUUUGCAGAUGGAUAGUGGUGAUGGUGUGUGUGAUAAUGUUGCUGUAGAUGAGAUUGGGGGAAAAUUUGAGGUGCAUGAAGAGCAUGAUGAAGAGGAAUGGAAAUAUAUCAAAGAAGGGCAGCAGAGCGAAAAGCAACAGCAACAGCAGCAGUUGAAAGCCAGUGUGGCUUGUAAAGACGUGGAAGGCGUAGAGGAAGUUGGCAACGGGCAUGGAUAUGGAUACGAGCAUGGUGAUGUCGGUGCCGAUAUACUUUUGCUAGACCAUCACGAAGUUGGUAACGGUGUCGUUGGCAUUUCAGCCGCAGUUGACGCAGACGCUGACAAUGCCGCAACCGGCAUUGAAGAGAAUGAAGAAGUCGACGUAGAAGUAAUAAAAAAUGAUGGUGAUUUUUCAACAACUUCAAAUACUACCUCUACAGCCGGUGAAGACGGCUUUGCAGAUACCGGUGUGUUGCAAGUGCAAAUGCAAAUUGAACAUAUACCACAAGAGCAAUUAUUACCAAAACAAGUUGAAGAUCUGUUGGAAGAAGGUACUAAUAUAGGAAGCAUGGCGGAUGAGACCGAAGAGGACGACCCUAGUUCGUUAGCAACCAAUAAUACUAAUCGAACAAAUAGCCUUAGUGAGAGUGCUCCACAGCAAGAAUUACAACAAAUACCCAUAGAAGACAAUAUUAUAAAAAGUGAUGAUUUUUCAAAUGAGGACAAAGAAAAUAACGUUCCAUCACUUACAAAUGUCCAUGGUGAUAUUCCAUUCGAGGAAACAACUGGAAAUAGUGAUUAUGAAUCAGAAAUGCACUCUCAAUUAAAUCCGAAUGCAAUAGAAUUUGUUCCUAGCUUUGGAUCAAACCCUACUUCUCCAACUAUCGAUAAUAAAGAAUUUGUUGUUGAAGAAGAUGUUUCAAAUAGUGUUGAGCAAAUACCAAUACGAACGCAGCCAAACUCACUUCCACGGCACCUAUUGGGCGAUGAUGAUUUUGUUGCUCAGAGCCCACGCAAGGGAAGUGCUGAAUCCAACUUGGACGCCAUUGCUUUACCAGAAGAAAAUGAUUUUGAACACGAAGCUGCAAAACGGCCACAUGAAUUGGAACAAGAAGACGAUUUGAUAGGUGUGGGUACGGUAGAGCACUCACAGCAAGAUCCUCAAUUAAUUCAAGAACAUUUGGAAAGUCACAAUAGUUUUGGCGUGAAUAUUCUGGAAUUAGAAAGAAAUGCAAAUGAAUAUAGUUCAGACAUACUCGGUCAAUCGCCAUUAAACUUAAUCGAUCAUGGUCCCGAGACUUCUGUCGAUUUAGAUACAGACUCACAACCGGUUGAUGUUGAAAAAAUUGACGAAACGCAAGAGAACCCUAAAGAAAAUGUUGAAAUUAUCGAAGAUGUAUUUAAUACGGUACAACCAUUACCAAUAGAUUUAAACAACUCAUUUGUUGAGGAAUCAUCACAUCAAGGAUUUGCCGUUGAGGGAAAAGAGUUGCUUGAUGUAGACGAAAAAGAAAAUAUUUCGCAUUCACCGUCUACGGAAGAGAUGCAAAUGAACUUACAAAACGAACUACAUUCCUCAGUGAAGGAUAUUCCACAAAUUCCGAUCGAUAUGGACAACGUUGCAAAUAUGCAAGAAUCGUUUUAUCUAGAAAGUACUUCCUCUGAGGCGCGUAAUCAACUUACAUCGGGUAUUGACUUAACUUCCGUUGAUGAACCGAAUUUGUAUACUGACGAAAUUCAAAUCCGUAAUGUGGAGGAACAAAAAUCUGCCAUCGAUGAUCCUUCAUUUGAAAGUGUCCGAAACUCUGCACCUGACACUUUUGAAGGUGAGCCAGGUACUGUUUUCGAUGCUUCGCCUACGUCUUUAAAUAUAUUCGCACCAGAGUUUACGCCUACACCUAAAUCAAUCGAUGCUGAUAUGAUUUCACCUUCUCCUGUAUCAACUGAAGAGAAACACCUAAUCGAAGAAACCAAAGAACAAGCAACCUUAAGUGAAACAACAGAAGAGCUUGAGCAAAAAAUGGAUGAUUUAAUAAUAUCUUCAAAUGAUGGAAUCCUCUCACAGGUAGAGGAGGUUGCACAAACAGCAGCUAACAUCGUUGAAAGUCUGAAUCCAUUUGCUGCUUCAGAACCCGAACAAGACGCAUCGCUUGAACAAACACCAAUGGAAGCGGAUCAUGCAUUUUCAGCAUUUUCAACCGAACUGCAGUCAGAUGCUGGCUUUUCGCAGCAAAACGAACAAAGCUACCACAACGAACCACAGGAGCAACAGCACUCACAGGAGGAAACAGCAGAGUCCACAUUUGAACAUCACCAAGACAAUUUAUUCUUGACAAAGCCAGAAGAUGAACAACCACUAGUAGCGUCCCCUGUGAAAUUGGAGUCUGAAUUGAACGGUUUUGAAGAGCACAUACCAGCUUCCAUAUCUGUGGAAAGCUCGAAUGCUGCUCCAUUUGAGCCAGAACCAGUAGAUUUAUCUGUUGAACCAGUGCAUGAAGAGGCUCAUGUGGAACUGGUAGAGUCCCCCAUUGCUGAGCCCGCACAUGCAGAGGCUCAUGUGGAACUGGUAGAGUCCCCCGUUGCUGAGCCAGAAUAUGAGGCUGUGCCUGAGCCAGAACUUAAAGUUGUGCCAGAGCCAGAAGUACAAUCAGUUUCUGAGCCAGAGCUUAUUACGCAGCUAGAGUCGGAGGUAGAGGUACUCCAUUCGGAACCUGUAAAUGUAUCAGGUGAGAGCAGUCAUUUUGAUGCAAAUGUUUCGGCUGUGGCUGAACCAAUUUUGGAAACUUCAGAUCAGCCCUCGGUGCCUACUCAUUCGGAAACCACUAUAGAGUCAGCUGAAAAUGAAACCACACCGUCAGCUGUUCAAGAAACCGUGAUCGCUGCUGCUGCUGCUGUAGGUGCUCUGGCAGCUACAGCCGGCGCCGUAAAAGUUGCUGCGGAUGCUCGCAAAAAACCUGAGGUUAAACAGGCUCGUACUCCAACUUCGACGAAAACAAAGAGUAUCGAUGUUAAAAAGGCUGCAGAACCAGCUAAAAAACCGAUUGGCAAAACCACUCUUUCAACAGUGUCUGCCGCUAGACCACGUACUGCUCCGGCUAAGACGACUGCUACCGCUGAGAAAAAAUCGGCUACAACUACAGCUUCAACUAAGUUGUCAGCUACUACUACUGCUGCUCGCAAGCCUCUAACGUCUACCACUGCAGCGUCUCGCACAGUUACUAAGACAACAACUACAACACGCCCAACGACAGCACCGACUGCUGCUAAAUUGACUGCUUCUCGUACCACUACCUUGUCUACUGCACGUCGUUCAGCACCAACUACUACAGGGGCAUCGACAACUGUUUCCAAUGGCACAACCACCGCCAAGCCCAAACCAACCAGCAGUGCACCUACUAAGCCAACAACUUUGGGUCUCUCGGGUACAACCAAACCGAAGUUAUCAUCACCUCGCACCACUUUAACAUCGCAACUACGCAAGGCUCCAACUAGCACAGGUACUGGUCUAGCUACGACUAAAAGUCCUCUUAAGACUACAGCACCAACUGCUAAUGGCGUAACUAAAAGUUCGACCACUACAACUGCUGCAAGUCGUGCUAAGAGUUCGACUUCUACCACUACCACUACAACCACUACAACUACUAAGACUUUUACUGCUCGCCCUGCUCCGAAGACUACGCAUUCAUCCACAUUAUCAUCGACUACAACACGCCGCACUGUAGGUAGUGUAUCGAUUAGUGCAACAGCUGCAAAAACCUCCAGCAGUACGUUGCAGAAAAAGACUCCACCGGGACCUACUACUAGACCAUCAACAGCUGGCAAAACCUCACUUUCGCCUACGAAAACGACAAACUCACUUCUGAAAGCGAAAACCAAAGAUGUAACUAAGAAAGCAGUAACUCCAACUAAAUCAUCAAAUCUUUUAAAAAAUAAGCCUACUGUAGAACAGACAAAAACAAAUGGUACCGCUGCUAUAGGAGCAGAAGAACCUACUGUUAUUCAACCCGAACAGACACCCCAAUUGAACGGUAAAGGUGACGGUGAUGCUCUACAGCUGAUAGAGAAUGGUAUUCAUAAACUUGAGCUAGAGAAUGGUGAAGAUCCUCUAUUGGAGCAGCAUAUACAGGCAUCUCUGAUUGAUGCUUAAAGCGAAGGAACAGAAAGAAGACUUUGUAUUUUUUAAAGUGCAGUAAGCAAAAUGAAGAAAUGUUAGAUCAAAGAAAGCGAUCGUCGUCAUUUAAUAAUAUUUAUUUUUGUGGGGGAACUUACCUUUGGACAAGUAGACGUAAUGCACAAGGUACUUGGUGGAAAGCAGUGUGGAUGAGGAGUGUUUUUUUAUACUCAUAAUCAUCCAUGGAUUGAUGUUGGAAUGCUCAUCGUUAAUUAUUAUGUUUUCUUGUUUAUCAUAGUAAUUUUUUUACUUUUGUCAUUUAUUUAAAUAGUUGAUUUUGUGCUGGUGAAUGUAUGGGAAAGACGAAAAACGAAAUAAAAAAUCAUAAAAUUUAUGAAAAAGCUAAAGAAAAAAAAUUUCUUAUUACCACUUUGUGAGCCAGUAGUUUUUGGCCUAACAACGACAACUAAUAUUACGCAAAAAAAAAUAAGAAAUAUUAAAUGCAAAAUAUAAGCAUAACAAAAAAAUAAAUAAAAACAAUAUAUUAAAAAAAAUGUAUGCGCGGAACGCGUCAUAAGUAAAAAUAUACGAAGUGAAAUUAUCUUUUAUACACAUAUGUAUAUGAAUAUCUAUUAAAUAUUAGAUGGCAUGCGAAAGAUCUUUUAAUCUUUAAUCACAUUAACGAUCGAAUUGUGCAUUUUUGAUAUAUUUUUGUACUUCAUUAUUCUGUUCCUGUUUACAAUAUGUGAGUAAAUGUAUAACACAAGAAAACGAAGCAGUAUACUUAAUUAUAAACAAACAAAAAAAAAACAAAACAAGUUAAUAUUAUUUAUGAAACAAAUUGUGGACUUGCUGUGCUCCUACCCAGUGUAUUAUUAUUUUUGUAAUUUUCUUCCGAAAUUCCUACUUUUGAUUUGUGCUCCUUUGUAUUAUUUCUUUUAAUUUGUUUAAAUUAAAAAAGAAAUUCUCAACUUAUAAGUCUGUCGAAACAUACAUAUAUAUAUAAUAUUAUAUUAUUCUCAAAACUACGAUAAUUUUUACGAUAAACUUGUACGCAAAACAAAAAAACGAUUAAAAAGCUACAAAAAAAGAAUAAAAUUAA
rnacentral:misc_RNA from 1 species